AUAUCGGAGCUUGCUCUGGUUGAUCAGUGGCGAACGGGUGAGUAACACGUGAGUAACCUGCCCUUGACUCUGGGAUAACUCCGGGAAACCGGGGCUAAUACCGGAUACGAGACGCGACCGCAUGGUCGGCGUCUGGAAAGUUUUUCGGUCAAGGAUGGACUCGCGGCCUAUCAGCUUGUUGGUGAGGUAAUGGCUCACCAAGGCGUCGACGGGUAGCCGGCCUGAGAGGGCGACCGGCCACACUGGGACUGAGACACGGCCCAGACUCCUACGGGAGGCAGCAGUGGGGAAUAUUGCACAAUGGGCGAAAGCCUGAUGCAGCGACGCCGCGUGAGGGAUGAAGGCCUUCGGGUUGUAAACCUCUUUCAGUAGGGAAGAAGCGAAAGUGACGGUACCUGCAGAAGAAGCGCCGGCUAACUACGUGCCAGCAGCCGCGGUAAUACGUAGGGCGCAAGCGUUGUCCGGAAUUAUUGGGCGUAAAGAGCUCGUAGGCGGUUUGUCGCGUCUGGUGUGAAAACUCAAGGCUCAACCUUGAGCUUGCAUCGGGUACGGGCAGACUAGAGUGUGGUAGGGGUGACUGGAAUUCCUGGUGUAGCGGUGGAAUGCGCAGAUAUCAGGAGGAACACCGAUGGCGAAGGCAGGUCACUGGGCCACUACUGACGCUGAGGAGCGAAAGCAUGGGGAGCGAACAGGAUUAGAUACCCUGGUAGUCCAUGCCGUAAACGUUGGGCACUAGGUGUGGGGCUCAUUCCACGAGUUCCGCGCCGCAGCUAACGCAUUAAGUGCCCCGCCUGGGGAGUACGGCCGCAAGGCUAAAACUCAAAGGAAUUGACGGGGGUCCCGCACAAGCGGCGGAGCAUGCGGAUUAAUUCGAUGCAACGCGAAGAACCUUACCAAGGCUUGACAUACACCGGAAUCAUGCAGAGAUGUGUGCGUCUUCGGACUGGUGUACAGGUGGUGCAUGGUUGUCGUCAGCUCGUGUCGUGAGAUGUUGGGUUAAGUCCCGCAACGAGCGCAACCCUCGUCCUAUGUUGCCAGCACGUUAUGGUGGGGACUCAUAGGAGACUGCCGGGGUCAACUCGGAGGAAGGUGGGGAUGACGUCAAAUCAUCAUGCCCCUUAUGU
rnacentral:rRNA from 1 species